rnacentral:rRNA from 1 species
UCAGCGACUUAUAUUCUGUAGCAAGGUUAACCGUAUAGGGGAGCCGGAGGGAAACCGAGUCUUAAUUGGGCGUUAAGUUGCAGGGUAUAGACCCGAAACCCGGUGAUCUAGCCAUGGGCAGGUUGAAGGUUGGGUAACACUAACUGGAGGACCGAACCGACUAAUGUUGAAAAAUUAGCGGAUGACCUGUGGCUGGGGGUGAAAGGCCAAUCAAACCGGGAGAUAGCUGGUUCUCCCCGAAAGCUAUUUAGGUAGCGCCUCGUGAAUUCAUCUCCGGGGGUAGAGCACUGUUUCGGCUAGGGGGCCAUCCCGGCUUACCAACCCGAUGCAAACUGCGAAUACCGGAGAAUGUUAUCACGGGAGACACACGGCGGGUGCUAACGUCCGUCGUGAAGAGGGAAACAACCCAGACCGCCAGCUAAGGUCCCAAAGUCAUGGUUAAGUGGGAAACGAUGUGGGAAGGCCCAGACAGCCAGGAUGUUGGCUUAGAAGCAGCCAUCAUUUAAAGAAAGCGUAAUAGCUCACUGGUCGAGUCGGCCUGCGCGGAAGAUGUAACGGGGCUAAACCAUGCACCGAAGCUGCGGCAGCGANNUGCUGGAGGUAUCAGAAGUGCGAAUGCUGACAUAAGUAACGAUAAAGCGGGUGAAAAGCCCGCUCGCCGGAAGACCAAGGGUUCCUGUCCAACGUUAAUCGGGGCAGGGUGAGUCGACCCCUAAGGCGAGGCCGAAAGGCGUAGUCGAUGGGAAACGGGUUAAUAUUCCCGUACUUGGUGUUACUGCGAAGGGGGGACGGAGAAGGCUAUGUUGGCCGGGCGACGGUUGUCCCGGUUUAAGCGUGUAGGUGUGUGUUCCAGGUAAAUCCGGUUCACUUUAACACUGAGGCGUGACGACGAGGCACUACGGUGCUGAAGCAACAAAUGCCCUGCUUCCAGGAAAAGCCUCUAAGCAUCAGGUAACAUCAAAUCGUACCCCAAACCGACACAGGUGGUCAGGUAGAGAAUACCAAGGCGCUUGAGAGAACUCGGGUGAAGGAACUAGGCAAAAUGGUGCCGUAACUUCGGGAGAAGGCACGCUGACACGUAGGUGAAGUGAUUUACUCACGGAGCUGAAGUCAGUCGAAGAUACCAGCUGGCUGCAACUGUUUAUUAAAAACACAGCACUGUGCAAACACGAAAGUGGACGUAUACGGUGUGACGCCUGCCCGGUGCCGGAAGGUUAAUUGAUGGGGUCAGCGCAAGCGAAGCUCCUGAUCGAAGCCCCGGUAAACGGCGGCCGUAACUAUAACGGUCCUAAGGUAGCGAAAUUCCUUGUCGGGUAAGUUCCGACCUGCACGAAUGGCGUAAUGAUGGCCAGGCUGUCUCCACCCGAGACUCAGUGAAAUUGAACUCGCUGUGAAGAUGCAGUGUACCCGCGGCAAGACGGAAAGACCCCGUGAACCUUUACUAUAGCUUGACACUGAACAUUGAGCCUUGAUGUGUAGGAUAGGUGGGAGGCUUUGAAGUGUGGACGCCAGUCUGCAUGGAGCCGACCUUGAAAUACCACCCUUUAAUGUUUGAUGUUCUAACGUGGACCCGUAAUCCGGGUUGCGGACAGUGUCUGGUGGGUAGUUUGACUGGGGCGGUCUCCUCCUAAAGAGUAACGGAGGAGCACGAAGGUUGGCUAAUCCUGGUCGGACAUCAGGAGGUUAGUGCAAUGGCAUAAGCCAGCUUGACUGCGAGCGUGACGGCGCGAGCAGGUGCGAAAGCAGGUCAUAGUGAUCCGGUGGUUCUGAAUGGAAGGGCCAUCGCUCAACGGAUAAAAGGUACUCCGGGGAUAACAGGCUGAUACCGCCCAAGAGUUCAUAUCGACGGCGGUGUUUGGCACCUCGAUGUCGGCUCAUCACAUCCUGGGGCUGAAGUAGGUCCCAAGGGUAUGGCUGUUCGCCAUUUAAAGUGGUACGCGAGCUGGGUUUAGAACGUCGUGAGACAGUUCGGUCCCUAUCUGCCGUGGGCGCUGGAGAACUGAGGGGGGCUGCUCCUAGUACGAGAGGACCGGAGUGGACGCAUCACUGGUGUUCGGGUUGUCAUGCCAAUGGCACUGCCCGGUAGCUAAAUGCGGAAGAGAUAAGUGCUGAAAGCAUCUAAGCACGAAACUUGCCCCGAGAUGAGUUCUCCCUGAGACUUAGAGUCUCCUGAAGGAACGUUGAAGACGACGACGUUGAUAGGCCGGGUGUGUAAGCGCAGCGAUGCGUUGAGCUAACCGGUACUAAUGAACCGUGAGGCUUAACCUUACAACGCCGAAG